rnacentral:rRNA from 1 species
CUAACCAGGAUUCCCCUAGUAACGGCGAGUGAAGAGGGAAAAGCCCAGCACCGAAGCCUGUGGCUAUUUGGCUACUAGGCAAUGUGGUGUUUAGGCCGAUUCGUGGGAUUGCCGCUCCACUCGAAGUCCAGCAUUGAGUAUGGUCACUGGAUUUGGCCCAGAGAGGGUGAUAGGCCCGUACGGGUGGAGUUUCAGACAUGUAAGGCAGUUCACCAGGUCGACCUUCGAGUCGGGUUGUUUGAGAAUGCAGCCCAAAGUGGGUGGUAAACUCCAUCCAAGGCUAAAUACAAGCACGAGUCCGAUAGCAAACAAGUACCGUGAGGGAAAGUUGAAAAGUACUUUGAAGAGAGAGUAAACAGUACGUGAAACCGCAUGCAGGUAAACGGGUGGCGUCAAGCUGCAAUCCUGGAGAAUUCAGCCGGCUAGUGUGUCGUGAAUGCGCCUGUGCAUCAUCAGUCGGUGUAAGAUGUGAUAGUCUACCGGGCAACGGUAGGCCGGGCCGCAAGGUUCGGUUAUGUGUACCGGGUGGAAGCCGGAGCAUGCUAUUCAUCUGUUGGACUGGCUAGCCGGUGCACUUUCUCUAUGGUGAACACCACGAUCGGUGGAAUUGCCAGUCUGCUGUAGUCAAGUCGUAUUCGAUGGGUUCUUGUAAUUCAUUGGGUGCGAUCACAGGCAAUGUCAGUACACGGCGUAGAGGUGUCUCGGCAUCUCUGCGUGUUAUCGGUUACUGCUUGUCAACGGGCCUGCCUAGUGGUUGUUGUAAUCGCCGCUGGGUGGCUUGGUGGACUACAGUGGUAAGAAUAACUGUGCAAGGCACCGGGGAUGUCGGCCUCAAUUGCACUCUGCAUACACAUUACAAGUGGUGUGGGGUGCCAUCGCUGCCUGCUUACUGUUGAGUCUGAUUGUCGUGUUGCCUGCACAAAGUAGGUCCGGCAGUGGCUUGAUGUAAGGUGGGUAGUUGGUGGUGCUUCGCGUGCAGGGUGUUGUGGGCCAAGUAAUCAGUGGUGCAGUGGUAGACGAGCUACCCGACCCGUCUUGAAACACGGACCAAGGAGUUCAACAUGUAUGCGAGUCAAUGGGUCCUACGAAACCCAAAGGCGCAGUGAAAGUAAAGCUUCGACUUGUUCUCGGAGUGAGGUGAGAUCCUGCCGUACUCGCAUCAGCCUAUCAGGCUAAGAGCGGUGGGCGCAUCACCGGCCCGUCCCAUGAUGUGGCCGCUGGC